rnacentral:lncRNA from 1 species
AUUCAUGUCUGUAUGCCCAACGUGUGCACCAACUGACAGCAUAAGUGCUCCAUGUGUAUUCAAUAUUUCCUAAAUGUAAAGUUGAGAGUAGUCCUUCAGCUUUGGGAUUUUGUUGACGUUCUCAGUGAAACCCAGGUUUGGAACUCUAACAAAUAUAUUUGAAUAUUUCUCGGGCCUAUAAAUGCAGCUUGGAACUAAAGACAUCUGGUCUACUAUAAAAAUCUUCUGAAUGGUCUCUAUUCCUCUAUUCAUGUUUCCUUUCAAUCAUUUUCCAAUUCCUGCCAAAGAGAAUAUUCCAAAACAAAUCUGUUUAUUACUUUUUAAUUAAAAGUCUUCAAAGUCUUCCCCUUGCUAAAGGAUAAAAUUUUUUUUAGGGUGGCAUCCAAGACCUUACUUAAUUUAAUCCUCUCGAUCUUCCAUGACUUAUCUCUUGAUGCAUCUUCUCCAUUCUCCCCUCAGUCCCCCACCAAUACACACAACUACCUCACAACCCUGCACUUUCCACCCCACCUACCUGCUUUAUAGAUGCUGAAUUACAAGUAAUUAUCUAAAUGGACCACACUGCAGGAACUUCUGUAGCCAUUUUCCAUCAUUGUCCUGUUCUUUCAUUGUUGUUUCUAUUUCUUUUUUUAUCUCCCUAAUUAUUUAAACCAUAUUUUACAGACUUGUUACAUUUACUGACUCUCAUGGUGGUGGAGAUGGAUUUUUUCCUAGUGUGCCUGUGUGUGGCUUUCCACCCCGAAGACUGGAAAAUCUCUUUUCUAACCAUGGGAGAAAAACUGAAGCAGAAACAGCAAGAAAUACAGGAUCUUCAGGGAAUGUUUCAGGUGGAGGAAGGGGCUCUUGGUCAAUGAGCCUGAAGACUGCAUGGCAACCUUUGCCAGCUUUUGGCCUGAAAACUCAACUUCUUCAUUUGAGAUAAUUCCUGUUUUAUAUACUUUCAUUUGAGAUAUUCCUGGUGUAUCAACUGAAACAAAAUCUAUGAAAUAUCAGAUUCACAAAAAUACA